UUGCGCAUGNGCGAANCCUGCGCACAACGCCGCGUGGGGGAUGAAGGUCUCUCGGAUUGUAAACUCCCUUUCAUACACGGAACGAAUACUCGCUCCUGGCUCGUAACAAUCAGGAGGAUCGACGGCUUACCGGGCAGAAGAAGCCACGGCAUAACUCUGUGCCAGCAGCCGCUCCUAAGNCAGAGGUGGCUGAGCGUUGUUCGGAUUUAUUGGGCGUGAAAGCGUACGCAGGCUGCCUUGGUAAGUCAGAGGUGAAAGCCCACAGCUUAACUGUGGCACUGCCUUUGAUACUGCCUUUCUAGAGUGCAUGAGGGGGAAGCGGAAUUNCGAGUGUANAGGNGAAAUUNGUAAAUNUUCGNAGGAACACCGGUGGCGAAGGCGGCUUCCUGGCNUGUAACUGACGCUCAUGUACNAAAGCGUGGGUAGCAAACANGAUUANAUACCCUGGUNGUCCACGCCCUAAACGAUGGGCACUAGGUGUGGGAGGUAUCGACCCCUUCCGUGCCGCAGCUAACGCAUUAAGUGCCCCGCCUGNGGAGUACGGCCGCAAGGUUGAAACUCANAAAAAUUGACANNA
rnacentral:rRNA from 1 species